AUGGGCACCGACGCGUUCCUCCGGCAGCAGGAGCCAUGGUUCGUCUCACUGGGCAUCCUCGGCGCCCUCUACGUCGCCGUGGUCGCGUACCGCCUCUUCCACAUCUCCGGCCUCGCGCUCUGCCUGCGCCAGCCCAAGGACCUCCGCCGCCGCUACGGGGCGUGGGCCGUCGUGACCGGCCCGACGUCCGGCAUCGGCCGCUCGAUGGCGCUGGAGCUCGCGCGGCGCGGCCUCAACCUCGUGCUAGUCGGCCGCGACCCCGCCAUGCUCCAGGACAUCUCCGAGACCGUCUCCCGAACGCACGGCGUGCUGGCCAAGACCGUGCAGUUCGACUUCUCCCUCGUCUCCACUCCUCGAGGGGAUGAGGCGAUGAGGCGGCUCCGGGAGGCGGUGGCAGGGCUGGACGUCGGACUCCUGGUGAACAACGCCGGGGUGGCGAAGCCGGGCGUGGUGUACCUGCACGAGGUCGACGCGGAGGCGUGGGUGAGCAUGAUACGGGUGAACCUGUGGGCCUUGACGGAGGUGACGGCGGCCGUGCUGCCCGGGAUGGUGGACCGGGGGAGGGGCGCCGUCGUCAACAUCGGCUCCGGCUGCACGGUGGCGCUACCCUCCGUACCGUUCUACUCCAUCUACGCCGCCACCAAACGGUACGUUGCUCAGUUCUCCAGGAGCCUUUACGUUGAGUACAGAGGCAAAGGCAUCGAUGUGCAGUGUCAGGUCCCACUAUUUGUGGACACGAAGAUGAUGGCGAAGAUGAUGACGUGGGGAGGCCUCAUGUCACAGUUGAUCACGCCGACACCAGACUCGUACGCCCAUGCGGCGGCACGCUGGAUCGGGCAUGGUCUCCCUGUCUGCAUUCCCAACCCGGGCCAUAGGCUGCAGAUGUGCUUGUACCAACUAUUGCCCGACAGCAUCCGUGUUGGGGCUUGCCUCCACGAGUCCCUCCAUCAGCGGGCCCUGAAUCUGACCAAGGGCACCGUCGCACAGCGUUAA
rnacentral:rRNA from 1 species